UACGAAGGGGGCUAGCGUUGCUCGGAAUCACUGGGCGUAAAGGGUGCGUAGGCGGGUCUUUAAGUCAGGGGUGAAAUCCUGGAGCUCAACUCCAGAACUGCCUUUGAUACUGAAGAUCUUGAGUUCGGGGAGAGGUGAGUGGAACUGCGAGUGUAGAGGUGAAAUUCGUAGAUAUUCGCAAGAACACCGGUGGCGAAGGCGGCUCACUGGCUCGUAACUGACGCUCAGGCGCGACAGCGUGGGGAUCAAACAGG
rnacentral:rRNA from 1 species